GGAAGGAGGUUGACAUCACGCGCCAAUCGGCAUGGCUCUUAGAGAGAGCGGCUCGCUUUUUGAAUUGGCUGUGGCGGCCGGCGGCGAGGAAUGGCGGUAUCGGUGUGAGGGGUCUGCGUGUGAAGAGGUGGAAUUGCCAGGGCGUUUUCGGAGCGUGGUGAGGACCUGAGGUUACAGUUUACACUAGUUGCUAAGAAUCUGGAGGAAGAUAUUUGUAUUUAUUAUUCUGAAGAAGGAAGAAAGGGUAAAGUAGAUCGCAUAUGUACUUUCAGCCACCGUAGUGCCGUACAAACAAUGGCUGACAAUAGUCUACUCACAUCCACUACUGGGAGGACUAGCUUGGUGGACUCUUCCAUUUUUGAUUCUAAAGUUGCUGAAACUUCGAAGGAAAACUUAUUUGUUGGAUCUACUUCAUAUGUUGAAGAGGAAAUGCCUCAGAUUGAAACAAGGGUGAUAUUGGUUCAAGAAGCUGGAAAACAAGAAGAACUUUUGAAAGCCUUAAAGACUAUUAAAAUAAUGGAAGUCCCUGUUAUAAAGAUUAAAGAAAGUUGUCCUGGAAAAUCGGAUGAAAAGUUAAUAAAAACUAUUAUUAAUAUGGAAAUUAAAGUGCCUUUUGUAAAGAUGGAAUCAAUUGAAGAAUUUGAAGAUUUGGAUUCUCCAGAAUUUGAAAAUAUAUUUGUAGUCACGGACUUCCAAGAUUCUGUCUUUAAUGACUUACACAAGACUGAUUGUAGAAUUAUUGGGCCACCGGUUGUGUUAAACUGUGCACAAAAAGGGGAGCCUUUGCCUUUCUCCUGUCGCCCGCUGUACUGUACAAGUAUGAUGAAUCUGGUGCUGUGCUUUACUGGAUUCAGGAAGAAAGAAGAGCUAGUCAGAUUGGUGACACUGGUCCAUCACAUGGGUGGAGUUAUUCGAAAAGACUUUAAUUCAAAAGUUACACAUUUGGUGGCAAAUUGUACACAAGGAGAAAAAUUUAGGGUUGCUGUGAGCCUGGGUACUCCAAUUAUGAAGACAGAAUGGAUUUAUAAAGCUUGGGAGAGGCGGAAUGAACAGGAUUUCUGUGCAACAAUUGAUGACUUUAGAAAUGAAUUUAAAGUUCCUCCAUUUCAAGAUUGCAUUUUGAGUUUCCUGGGGUUUUCAGAUGAAGAAAAAGCCAAUAUGGAAGAGAUGACUGAAAUGCAAGGAGGUAAAUAUUUGCCAGUUGGAGAUGAAAGAUGUACUCACCUUAUUGUUGAAGAGAAUAUAGUAAAAGAACUUCCAUUUGAACCUUCGAAGAAACUUUAUGUUGUCAAGCAAGAGUGGUUCUGGGGAAGCAUUCAAAUGGAUGCCCGAGCUGGAGAAACUAUGUAUUUGUACGAAAAGGCUAAUACUCCUGAGCUCAAGAAGUCAGUGUCACUACUGUCUCUAAGUACGCCAAACAGCAAUCGCAAAAGACGACGUUUAAAAGAGACACUCGCUCAGCUUUCAAGAGAGACAGAUUUAUCACCUUUCCCUCCCCGUAAACGGCCGUCAGCUGAACAUUCCCUUUCUAUAGGAUCACUUCUGGAUAUCUCUAAUACACCAGACUCUAGCAUUAACUAUGGAGAAACACCAAAAUCUUGUACUAAGUCUUCUAAAAAUUCUACUCCAAUUCCUUUAAAGCAGUCAGCCCGGUGGCAAGUUGCAAAAGAGCUCUAUCAGACUGAAAGUAAUUAUGUAAAUAUAUUGGCGACAAUUAUUCAGUUAUUUCAAGUACCAUUGGAAGAGGAAGGACAACGUGGUGGGCCUAUCCUUGCACCAGAAGAGAUUAAGACAAUUUUUGGCAGUAUCCCAGAUAUCUUUGAUGUACACACUAAGAUAAAGGAUGAUCUUGAAGACCUUAUUGUUAACUGGGAUGAAAGCAAAAGCAUUGGUGACAUCUUUCUUAAAUAUUCAAAAGAUUUGGUAAAAACCUACCCUCCCUUUGUAAACUUCUUUGAAAUGAGCAAGGAAACAAUUAUUAAAUGUGAAAAACAGAAACCAAGAUUUCAUGCUUUUCUCAAGAUAAACCAAGCUAAACCAGAGUGUGGACGGCAAAGCCUUGUUGAACUUCUCAUCCGACCUGUGCAGAGGUUACCGAGUGUUGCAUUACUUUUAAAUGAUCUUAAGAAGCAUACAGCUGAUGAAAAUCCCGACAAAAGCACUUUAGAGAAAGCUAUUGGGUCACUAAAGGAAGUAAUGACGCAUAUUAAUGAGGAUAAAAGGAAAACAGAGGCUCAAAAGCAAAUUUUUGAUGUUGUUUAUGAAGUAGAUGGAUGCCCGGCUAAUCUUUUAUCUUCUCACCGAAGCUUAGUACAGAGAGUUGAAACGAUUUCCCUAGGUGAGCACCCCUGUGACAGAGGAGAACAAGUAACUCUCUUCCUCUUCAAUGACUGCCUGGAGAUAGCAAGAAAACGACACAAGGUUAUUGGCACUUUUAGGAGUCCUCAUGGGCAUACUCGACCCCCGGCUUCUCUUAAGCAUAUUCAUCUAAUGCCUCUUUCUCAGAUUAAGAAGGUGCUGGACUUAAGAGAGACAGAAGAUUGCCAUAAUGCUUUUGCCUUGCUUGUGAGGCCACCAACAGAGCAAGCGAAUGUCCUGCUCAGUUUCCAGAUGACAUCAGAUGACCUGCCAAAAGAAAACUGGCUAAAGAUGCUGUGUCGACAUGUAGCCAACACCAUUUGUAAAGCGGAUGCUGAGAAUCUUAUGUAUACUGUGGAUCCAGAAUCCUUUGAAGUAAAUACAAAAGAUAUGGACAGUACAUUGAGUAGAGCAUCUAGAGCAAUAAAAAAAACUUCCAAAAAGGUUACCAGAGCAUUCUCUUUCUCUAAAACUCCAAAAAGAGCUUUCCGAAUGGCUCUUAUGACAUCCCACAACUCAGCGGAGGGAAGAAGCCCUACCAGCAGUGAUAAGCAUGUAGUGAGUCGUCUGUCUAGCACAUCAUCAUUAGCAAUUACCCAUUCUGUUUCCACAACCAAUAUAAUUGGAUUUACUAAGCAUGUUUAUGUUCAGCGCUCAAACUCUACUCGUGGGCGCUCUCAUUACUCCUGGUUUCGAUCUAUACAUCAUUCUGCCUCCCGAGCUAGUUUUUCAGAGAUACUAGAAGGAAAUAUUGAUUUUCAAAUUUCAAAAAAGUUCUACCCAAGUCAUCUUUGACAUUUGUGAAGAAUUAGGAGAUAUGCUGAGCAAUAAUGGAAACAAGCCUCGUGAAAUUUAAUGGUAUCCCGUCUCCUUCCCUUGUCAGCCUUCCUUCCUUCUUUGAGAGGAGAAGUCAUACCUUAAGCAGAUCUACAACUCAUUUGAUAUGAAGCUUUAAAAAAAUCUUAAAUUACAGAAAUGUAUUAACAUUUCAUACUCGAAAGAGAAACUGACUUAAAUGGUACUUGUAAUUAGCACUUGGGGAAAGCUGGAGAGAAGAUGUUUAACACUAAAGUAUACAUUUGAUUUUCCUCUUGAAAGAGUAAAGUUUAUGUCUUAACAGUUUUCAAGUUAAUGCAUGUAAAAAAGUUAUAUUGAUUUUGAUGUAAUUUAUCUCUUUGAAUUCCUCAUUCAAAGACCAAUAAUUUAAGUUAUUCAUGAUAUCAGUAGCUUUGCAAUCCUGACACAGUAAAUAAAUUUUAUUGAUGGGUACCAAAUACUGCUGUAAAUCUAUUUGUAUAGUACCCAUGAAUGAAUUUGUGGAAAUACAUAUUUGUGAAUCUCAAUUUGUACAGAAAUUAAAUAAUACUACAGUGCUUACUGGAUAAAAACCUGCAUAGAUUCCUGAUGAAGUAGUGGAUCUUGUAUCACAUGGACUGUUUAUUUACUGCUCUUGCAGUUUAUUUUCUUCUCAGAUGUUUUCAAGUUCUAGCAUGUGGAUUAUAAAUGAUUUUCCCUUAUUAAUAAGAACACUUAAAGGGGAUUGCUUGAAAAUACUUUGCAAAUUGAGACAAUAACAAAGAUUAAAAAAUAUUGUAUUUUGUGAAAGCAAGUUACUGGUAAAUACUUGUAGCUGGUUCAGAGACAAAUAUUUAUGGUAAUUUUAGCCACUAGCAAAUCUUGAUUUAGUUUGAUAGUGUGUGAAAUUUUAUUUUGAAAGAUAAGACCAUGGGAAAAUUGUAGUAAAGACUGUUUAUAUUUUUUAUGAACUAAUUCUAAAGUUACCAUUAGUUUUACUAAUCUGCUGUGAAAUACAUAGAUGUGUAUAUGGUCAACAUUUUAUUGUGGUCUUAUAAUUACAUUUAAAACUGAAAAUUUAUUUGCUGUUAUAAAAUAUUUUUCAAAGCCUGAUGUCAUCUUUUACAAUAGUCUUUGUUUUUUGAUAGUCAGGAAUACAAAAUAAUCAAGUUCCUAUGAAUAAAUGCAUUUUUUAUUUCCUAUAUGUUUGGGAGUAAGGCAAAUGUUUAAUUAUCACAUAACAAUUUGUAGUCAUCUGCUUUAAUUGUUUAAUUGACCAAGAAGUUUUUCUAUGCUAUCUAUGUACCACUUCAGAGAUUAGUAUAUAACCCCUUUUUUGCUAUAUUUUAAAAGCAGUUAUAUUAGUAAGAACUUUGUAAAUAAAUACCUAAAAUCCAAAUAUA